UCGGGAAUUUUGGGCAAUGGGCGAAAGCCUGACCCAGCAACGCCGCGUGAGGGAUGAAGUAUUUCGGUAUGUAAACCUCGAAAGAAUGGGAAGAAUAAAUGACGGUACCAUUUAUAAGCUCCGGCUAACUACGUGCCAGCAGCCGCGGUAAUACGUAGGGAGCAAGCGUUGUUCGGAUUUACUGGGCGUAAAGGGCGCGUAGGCGGCGCGGUAAGUCACUUGUGAAAUCUCUGAGCUUAACUCAGAACGGCCAAGUGAUACUGCUGUGCUAGAGUGCGGAAGAGGCAACCGGAAUUCUUGGUGUAGCGGUGAAAUGCGUAGAUAUCAAGAGGAACACCUGAGGCGAAGGCGGGUUGUUGGGCCGACACUGACGCUGAUGCGCGAAAGCCAGGGGAGCAAACG
rnacentral:rRNA from 1 species